rnacentral:rRNA from 1 species
CAAAGGCUUGGUCCUGACUUUACUAUCACCUUUAGCUAAACUUACACAUGCAAGUAUCCGCACUCCUGUGAGAAUGCCCUAAUAGUUCCCCGUCCGGGAACAAGGAGCUGGUAUCAGGCACAACCCUAGUUUAGCCCACGACGCCUUGCUUAGCCACACCCUCAAGGGAACUCAGCAGUGAUAAACAUUAAGCCCUAAGUGAAAACUUGACUUAGUCAAAGCUAAGAGGGCCGGUAAAACUCGUGCCAGCCACCGCGGUUAUACGAGAGGCCCAAGUUGACAGACAUCGGCGUAAAGAGUGGUUAAGUUAAAAUUGUACUAAAGCCGAACAUCCUCCAGGCUGUUAUACGCAUCCGAAGAUAAGAAGUUCAACCACGAAGGUAGCUUUAUUUAAUCUGAACCCACGAAAGCUACGGCACAAACUGGGAUUAGAUACCCCACUAUG